AUUGAACGCUGGCGGCAGGCUUAACACAUGCAAGUCGAGCGGGGUGAUGGUGCUUGCACUAUCACUUAGCGGCGGACGGGUGAGUAAUGCUUAGGAAUCUGCCUAUUAGUGGGGGACAACAUCUCGAAAGGGAUGCUAAUACCGCAUACGUCCUACGGGAGAAAGCAGGGGAUCACUUGUGACCUUGCGCUAAUAGAUGAGCCUAAGUCGGAUUAGCUAGUUGGUGGGGUAAAGGCCUACCAAGGCGACGAUCUGUAGCGGGUCUGGGAGGAUGAUCCUCCACACUGGGACUGAGACACGGCCCAGACUCCUACGGGAGGCAGCAGUGGGGAAUAUUGGACAAUGGGGGGAACCCUGAUCCAGCCAUGCCGCGUGUGUGAAGAAGGCCUUAUGGUUGUAAAGCACUUUAAGCGAGGAGGAGGCUCUUUUGGUUAAUACCCAAGAUGAGUGGACGUUACUCGCAGAAUAAGCACCGGCUAACUCUGUGCCAGCCGCCGCAGUAA
rnacentral:rRNA from 1 species